GUGAGCGAGCUCGGUGGCGACGGCGGGCGGGCGGCGGCCUACGGCGCGGAGGGCGGACUGGGAAUGGCGCGCCCUGCGCCGCCGGCGUAACUGCGGCGCU
rnacentral:pre_miRNA from 2 species